UACGUAGGGUCCGAGCGUUGUCCGGAAUUAUUGGGCGUAAAGGGCUCGUAGGCGGUUUGUCACGUCGGGCGUGAAAACUCAGGGCUCAACCCUGAGCGUGCGUUCGAUACGGGCAGACUAGAGGUAUGCAGGGGAGAACGGAAUUCCUGGUGUAGCGGUGGAAUGCGCAGAUAUCAGGAAGAACACCCGUGGCUAAGGCGGCUCUCUAGUACGGUACUGACGCUGAGACGCGAAAGCGUGGGGAGCGAACAGG
rnacentral:rRNA from 1 species